AACGUAGGACGCAAGCGUUAUCCGGAGUUACUGGGCGUAAAGCGCGGGCAGGCGGCUCGAUGCGUCUGAUGUGAAAUCUCCUCGCUCAACGGGGAGAGGCCAUUGGAAACGGACGAGCUGGAGGGCAGUAGAGGUAGGCGGAAUUCCGGGUGGAGUGGUGAAAUGCGUAGAGAUCCGGAGGAACACCAGAGGCGAAGGCGGCAUCCUGGACCGGUAUUGACGCUGAGGCGCGAAAGCUAGGGGAGCAAACGGGG
rnacentral:rRNA from 1 species